rnacentral:rRNA from 1 species
UACAGAGGGGGCGAGCGUUGUUCGGAAUUACUGGGCGUAAAGGGCGCGUAGGCGGCCUCUUAAGUCGAACGUGAAAUCCCCGGGCUCAACCCGGGAACUGCGUCCGAUACUGGGGGGCUUGAAUCCGGGAGAGGGAUGUGGAAUUCCAGGUGUAGCGGUGAAAUGCGUAGAUAUCGGGAGGAACACCAGUGGCGAAGGCGGCUCUCUGGGCCCUACCUGACGCUGAGACGCGAAAGCGUGGGGAGCGAACCGG